CCUACGGGGGGCAGCAGUGAGGAAUAUUGCCCAAUGGGGGAAACCCUGAGGCAGCGACGCCGCGUGGGUGAUGAAGGCCUUCGGGUCGUAAAACCCUUUUGCAGGUGACGAGGAAGGACGGUAGCCUGCGAAGAAGUCUCGGCUAACUACGUGCCAGCAGCCGCGGUAAAACGUAGGAGGCAAGCGUUAUCCGGAGUUACUGGGCGUAAAGCGCAUGUAGGCGGUUGUUCAAGUGGCGUGUGAAAGCGCCCGGCUAAACUGGGCGAGGACACGUCAGACUGGACGGCUAGAGGGGGCUAGAGGGGCGCAGAAUUCGGGGUGUAGCGGUGAAAUGUGUAGAGAUCCCGAGGAAUACCAGUGGAGAAGUCGGCGCCCUGGGGCCUUACUGACGCUGAGAUGCGAAAGCGUGGGGAGCGAACGGGAUUAGAUACCCUUGUAGU
rnacentral:rRNA from 1 species